ensembl:snoRNA
GUUCUUUUGUGUUUCAUAAAGUAAUGAUUGUGUUUUCACGUUAUUGUGUGAGGUGUGCCUCCCUCAGACCUUGAUACCAGUCUGCACAUUACCUGACAUGAAA